GCCGAAGGCCCGGGCGACGCAGGCGCAGUGGCGUCGGUGCGCCUCCUUACGCGGUCGCCUCGGUUGCUCCGGAGUAGCUUUUACGCACACGCGCGGUUGGCAGACUAGAGAAUAAUCUCAUCUGGCCGGGAUAACUGGAUCGGAGGACACGUCUGGUGAAAAGCGGCAAAGUCUAACUUCGACACAAGGUUUGCCUCUGGACCUACCUGAAAGAAGAUGUCUUAUGGUUCCAUUGACGGGAGCGGAUUUGGAAGCAGGAGCAGCUUUGGUGGGCCUUCGAGACAAGGCUACCAACCUCUAG